UUAAGUUAUUAAGGGCGCACGGUGGAUGCCUUGGCACUAGAAGCCGAUGAAGGACGUUACUAACGACGAUAUGCUUUGGGUAGCUGUAAGUAAGCGUUGAUCCAGAGAUUUCCGAAUGGGGGAACCCAGCAUGAGUUAUGUCAUGUUAUCGACAUGUGAAUUCAUAGCAUGUCAGAAGGCAGACCCGGAGAACUGAAACAUCUUAGUACCCGGAGGAAGAGAAAGAAAAAUCGAUUCCCUGAGUAGCGGCGAGCGAAACGGGAAGAGCCCAAACCAACAAGCUUGCUUGUUGGGGUUGUAGGACUCCAAUAUGGUAGUCUGUUAGUAUAGUUGAAGGAUUUGGAAAAUUCCGCUAAAGAGGGUGAAAGCCCCGUAGACGAAAUGCUAACAACACCUAGGAGGAUCCUGAGUACGGCGGAACACGAGAAAUUCCGUCGGAAUCCGCGGGGACCAUCCCGCAAGGCUAAAUACUCCCUAGUGACCGAUAGUGAACCAGUACCGUGAGGGAAAGGUGAAAAGCACCCCGGAAGGGGAGUGAAAUAGAUCCUGAAACCGUGUGCCUACAACAAGUCAAAGCUCGUUAAUGAGUGAUGGCGUGCCUUUUGUAGAAUGAACCGGCGAGUUACGAUUGCAUGCGAGGUUAAGUCGAAGAGACGGAGCCGCAGCGAAAGCGAGUCUGAAUAGGGCGAAUGAGUAUGUAGUCGUAGACCCGAAACCAUGUGAUCUACCCAUGUCCAGGUUGAAGGUGCGGUAAAACGCACUGGAGGACCGAACCCACGUACGUUGAAAAGUGCGGGGAUGAGGUGUGGGUAGCGGAGAAAUUCCAAACGAACUUGGAGAUAGCUGGUUCUCUCCGAAAUAGCUUUAGGGCUAGCCUCGGAAUUGAGAAUGAUGGAGGUAGAGCACUGUUUGGACUAGGGGCCCAUCUCGGGUUACCGAAUUCAGAUAAACUCCGAAUGCCAUUCAUUUAUAUCCGGGAGUCAGACUGCGAGUGAUAAGAUCCGUAGUCGAAAGGGAAACAGCCCAGACCACCAGCUAAGGUCCCAAAAUAUAUGUUAAGUGGAAAAGGAUGUGGGGUUGCACAGACAACUAGGAUGUUGGCUUAGAAGCAGCCACCAUUUAAAGAGUGCGUAAUAGCUCACUAGUCGAGUGACCCUGCGCCGAAAAUGUACCGGGGCUAAACAUAUUACCGAAGCUGUGGAUUGUCCUUUGGACAAUGGUAGGAGAGCGUUCUAAGGGCGUCGAAGCAUGAUCGCAAGGACAUGUGGAGCGCUUAGAAGUGAGAAUGCCGGUGUGAGUAGCGAAAGACGGGUGAGAAUCCCGUCCACCGAUUGACUAAGGUUUCCAGAGGAAGGCUCGUCCGCUCUGGGUUAGUCGGGUCCUAAGCUGAGGCCGACAGGCGUAGGCGAUGGAUAACAGGUUGAUAUUCCUGUACCACCUAGUAUCGUUUUAAUCGAUGGGGGGACGCAGUAGGAUAGGCGAAGCGUGCUGUUGGAGUGCACGUCCAAGCAGUAAGGCUGAGUGUUAGGCAAAUCCGGCACUCAUAAGGCUGAGCUGUGAUGGGGAGAGGAAAUUGUUUCCUCGAGUCGUUGAUUUCACACUGCCGAGAAAAGCCUCUAGAUAGAUAACAGGUGCCCGUACCGCAAACCGACACAGGUAGUCAAGAUGAGAAUUCUAAGGUGAGCGAGCGAACUCUCGUUAAGGAACUCGGCAAAAUGACCCCGUAACUUCGGGAGAAGGGGUGCUCUUUAGGGUUCACGCCCAGAAGAGCCGCAGUGAAUAGGCCCAAGCGACUGUUUAUCAAAAACACAGGUCUCUGCUAAACCGUAAGGUGAUGUAUAGGGGCUGACGCCUGCCCGGUGCUGGAAGGUUAAGAGGAGUGGUUAGCUUCUGCGAAGCUACGAAUCGAAGCCCCAGUAAACGGCGGCCGUAACUAUAACGGUCCUAAGGUAGCGAAAUUCCUUGUCGGGUAAGUUCCGACCCGCACGAAAGGCGUAACGAUUUGGGCACUGUCUCAACGAGAGACUCGGUGAAAUCAUAGUACCUGUGAAGAUGCAGGUUACCCGCGACAGGACGGAAAGACCCCGUGGAGCUUUACUGUAGCCUGAUAUUGAAAUUCGGCACAGCUUGUACAGGAUAGGUAGGAGCCUUUGAAACGUGAGCGCUAGCUUACGUGGAGGCGUUGGUGGGAUACUACCCUAGCUGUGUUGGCUUUCUAACCCGCACCACUUAUCGUGGUGGGAGACAGUGUCAGGCGGGCAGUUUGACUGGGGCGGUCGCCUCCUAAAAGGUAACGGAGGCGCUCAAAGGUUCCCUCAGAAUGGUUGGAAAUCAUUCAUAGAGUGUAAAGGCAUAAGGGAGCUUGACUGCGAGACCUACAAGUCGAGCAGGGUCGAAAGACGGACUUAGUGAUCCGGUGGUUCCGCAUGGAAGGGCCAUCGCUCAACGGAUAAAAGCU
rnacentral:rRNA from 1 species